UACGUAGGGGACGAGCGUUGUCCGGAAUUACUGGGCGUAAAGGGCGCGCAGGCUGUAGAUCAAGUCAGCUGUGAAAUGUCUGGGCUUAACCCGGGCAUGCGGUUGAAACUGAUGUACUGGAGUGCUGUAGAGGCAAGUGGAAUUCCCAGUGUAGCGGUGAAAUGCGUAGAUAUUGGGAAGAACACCGGUGGCGAAGGCGACUUGCUGGGCAGCAACUGACGCUGAGGCGCGAAAGCCAGGGGAGCAAACGGGGAUUAGA
rnacentral:rRNA from 1 species